GAUGAACGCUAGCGGCAGGCUUAACACAUGCAAGUCGAGGGGUAUUGGUUUUCGGACCAAGAGACCGGCGCACGGGUGCGUAACGCGUAUGCAAUCUACCUUUUGCAGAGGGAUAGCCCCAGAGAAAUUUGGAUUAAUACCUCAUAGUAUAGUACUUUGGCAUCAAGGAACUAUUAAAGUCACAACGGCAAAGAUGAGCAUGCGUCCCAUUAGCUAGUUGGUAAGGUAACGGCUUACCAAGGCUACGAUGGGUAGGGGUUCUGAGAGGGAGAUCCCCCACACUGGUACUGAGACACGGACCAGACUCCUACGGGAGGCAGCAGUGAGGAAUAUUGGACAAUGGGCGCAAGCCUGAUCCAGCCAUGCCGCGUGCAGGAUGACGGUCCUAUGGAUUGUAAACUGCUUUUAUACAGGAAGAAACACUCCGACGUGUCGGAGCUUGACGGUACUGUAAGAAUAAGGA
rnacentral:rRNA from 1 species